AGCCGCGGGGGGACAUAGGAUUGAGAAGGGGCUGGAACUCGGAGAGAAACAAGUUUAGAAGGCAUCUACAGACUCUAGAAGAUACAGAGCUGAAAACAAAGACGUCCAAACCUUGAGCUAAAUAGAAGAGGAAGAAGCCAAAAUCUGUGCCAGAGGUUUGACUGCUGGGUUUACUCAUGGCUUCAGUGACAGAUGAGGAGAACGGUGGCUUUUCAUUCUUUCCUUUGGAUUUCCUCCAUUCCAGAGGGACAGAGGACUCUGCACACGCUGUGCAAGCAGAAGCAGUUGUCUCCUGGUCAAGCUGACAAACAACCACAGUGCUUGGUCCAAAAAUCAACAUAUCCCUCCAAGCCCUCUGCUUCUGCCCUACCAGGAGGUGUGAGCCUGAAGGAGAAUCUGAACUGCUGACCUUCUUGCCUAGAGGAGAAGGGAGAAAUGCACCACCAGCCCAGAGAGAGCAAAGCCUGAGGAGUCUGGAAUCAUUCCUGGACUGUUCGAUAUCACCCAGGAGAUGAGGCUGAUGCCUGAGCAGCAAACAUCACCAGGUCAGUGCCGAAGGACCAAUGCUGACCUACUGUUUUCUUCUUUUGGCACACCUCUCUGAGUCACACAGUGCAGACGUCUUGGUUCAUCUGGCGAUUGGAGAGCUAGCUUCCCUGACACCUAGCAGGGCUGGCCAGAAAUAGAGAUAGGAGGCUGUCAAUACCUGCUCUUCUCUUACGCACACAGGAAGCCUGCUGAUGAGUGUUUCAGAUUCGUGUAACUAUUGCCCAGGGGCUACCAUUUUAAGGAAAGCACCAACGCUGAACCCCAGUACAGCUUUUUCUGGAAAUAACCCUGCCCACAAGAUGUCACAGGCCAAUAAAAUCAUUACACAGCAAUUCAUCUAAGAAAAAAGAAAAAUCUGUGAAAGAAAUAUUCUUAAAAACAAGGAAAAAAAACCCUCUUUUGGGCCUUGCGACACACGUUACUCUGCUAGUGCACAAAAUUUAGGAAGUAGACUUGCCUAGAAACUGAAGUGAAAGCCAUGCAUCUGUUUUCAUUGUCCAACAGAGAGAAAUGUCAAGGAACAAGCAAACAGCAGGAAGUGAAAAGCAAGUAAGAUUCUGAAAAUCUUUGCAAGAAUAUGCAGUUGAGGUAUCCUCUGUAAAACAAAAUAUGCAAUGUUUAGCAUGCCAGCAUCCAUUCAAGUCAACUACUACUGACCACUAGACUAAAGUCUUGUGCCAUCAGCUGUGUGAUUAACUGAAAGUCCCAACAGAUAAGCAAGUGGCAUCCAUAAAAUCAUGGGAGAAAAAUGUAAAUGCGGAAGCAAUGGGAUUUGGUAGUGCUUGAACAUUCACAGAGAAAAGUGAUGACAUCUGCGCAUACUAGGUAUGCAGGAUCAGGCUCCUUGGGAUCCCAGAGACAGAACUCUUCUGAGCAAACAAGCUCUCAAACUAGACACUUUAGUCUGAGCUACAUUUUACUAGCAAGCACCUCAGGAAUUGCAAAUAAAAGCUUUUCUACCUUGUUUAAAACAGAUCUGAGAGUGGCAGAGAGGAUGGUGGAAUUACAUAGAUAUUCACAAGAAAUUCUCCCCUGUGAAAGUGGUGAAGCAGUGGCACAGGCCGCCCAGAAAAGCUGUAGAUGCCUGGUCCCUGGAGGUGUUCAAGGCCAGGUGUAAUGAGGCGUUGAGCAACCUGAUCUAGUGGAAGGUGUCCUUGUCUACGGCAGGAGGGAUUGAACUAGAUGAUUGUUAUAGUCCCUUCUGACUGUUCUGUGAUUCUGUGACUAUGAAUUAGGUUCCCUCUAAGAGUUGGAGAGAGCUGUGCUGUAGCUGGGCUGGGUACCAGGUCUGCAGUAUGGUAACUGGGCCUACUGGUUGCAGAUCCAUGGGAACUGGCUGGGCCUACCAUGAGAGGGGUAUUUUAGGUGGAAGUCACAUAAAAAAAAAUAAGAUCUUCAAUAGCAAUUCAGUUAUAGCUAGAUUUGAGGAAUGGAACAGCAUUUAAAGAAAGUGUUUCCUUGCAGCAAACAGUGUUUUAAUCACCCAGGAAGUGAGACGGACAAAAGGACUGGAUAGCUCAAGGAAAUGGUCUGAAUGGAGUCAAGCUCAGCAGUGAUUAAAAGCUGCUAUCACUUCGUGGCUGUCCAGGGGAUAUUUGAGAUGAGCUGAUAGAUCUCAGACCAUAGGCAUCAACAUCUUUGCGGCACCACCUAAUUGGAUCCCAUGUUGGCAGUCUCAGCAGUGAUGCCAUGGUUUAAAGGAGUUGUGGGGUGUAAAUCCACUUCUCUGGGUGGGGAACAACCUGCAGUGCACUGUCAGAGUGAGGGACAGAGGCUUAGGCAUGCUUGUAAUGCCACUGGCUUUAUUUUUCUUGCUCUGAGGAGAAAUAAAAGCUCCCAGCAAUUCCAGCUGUCAGCCAAGUCCUGCUCAGAGAACUGAGAUCUUUCCAAUAAAGAAAGCCAACAGCAAGGCAAGAAUUUGUAGCCCUGUUUCUCUAAUUGCAAGGCUCUUCCCUAGCCCCAUUAAUUUCCCGUGAAACUGAGAAGUUUAGUCAGCAUUAAAUCUGGGAGUGUUGCCUUCCACUGGGGCUCUCUGUUAUGCAGCAGACAGGCGUACAUUUUUGCUGUGACGAAUAUUUUAUUGACAUUGAUACAAUAUAUACAUUGCAAAAGAGCAUUCUGAAUAAAGUAUUCCUCUAUUUCAGUGGAGAGACAUGUAUGCUAUACAGAUGGCUGGAGUAAAUCUGGCCUUACAAUUAAAAUCUGUUUAGAGUUUGUAGCAAAGUGACUGAUGGAUUAGGCUCAGUGCUCCAUCAAUCCCUCCCCCUCCCCCCGUUCCUCUCUGUAGUACAACAUUGAUGGCAGGUCAUAAAUAGCCAUUCGUACAAAGUGCAGGAACUCUUUAAGUAUCAUUUUAUAGCUAGUAUAUAUAUUCCAAGUGGCUGGCAAAAUGCAAAGUGCCUGGGGUCUUUAACAAUGGCAAUAGGUCAUGAGAGGCAAGUAAUACCUAUGUACUUGAAUCAAGG